CUUCUAGGGGUACAUCUCAAUAGUAUGAUCUAAUAUCCUUCUAGGGGUACAUCUCAAUAGUAUGAUCUAAUAUCCUUCUAGGGGUACAUCUCAAUAGUAUGAUCUAAUAUCCUUCUAGGGGUACAUCUCAAUAGCGUGUCUAAUAUCCUUCUAGGGGUACAUCUCAAUAGUGUGUCUAAUAUCCUUCUCGGGGUAAAUCUCAAUAAUCUAGUCUAAUAUCCUUCUAGGGGUACAUCUCAAUAAUCUGGUAUGAUAUCCUUCUAGGGGUACAUCUCAAUAAUCUAGUCUAAUAUCCUUCUAGGGGUAAAUCUCAAUAAUCUAGUCUAAUAUCCUUCUAGGGGUAAAUCUCAAUAAUCUGGUCUAAUAUCCUUCUAGGGGUACAUCUCAAAAGUAUGAUCUAAUAUCCUUCUAGGGGUACAUCUCAAUAGUAUGAUCUAAUAUCCUUCUAGGGGUACAUCUCAAUAGUAUGAUCUAAUAUCCUUCUAGGGGUACAUCUCAAUAGUCGUGUCUAAUAUCCUUCUAGGGGUACAUCUCAAUAAUCUAGUCUAAUAUCCUUCUAGGGGUACAUCUCAAUAAUCUAGUCUAAUAUCCUUCUAGGGGUAAAUCUCAAUAAUCUAGUCUAAUAUCCUUCUAGGGGUACAUCUCAAUAAUCUAGUCUAAUAUCCUUCUAGGGCUACAUCUCAAUAAUCUAGUCUCAUAUCCUUCUAGCGGUACAUCUCAACAGUCUAGUUUUGUUUCCUCCCAGCGAUGCAUCUCAAUAGUUGAACUAGAAUACCAAAUUAAAAAUGUCACUUGCAGGUCCAUCUGACCCCAUCUAGUGGCAGCAUUAGUAUAACAGACGAAACAGUAAUGAGACUCACCCUUGACUACACUAGAGACUAUUGAGACUUACCCCUAGACUACACUAGAGAAUAAUGAGACUCACCCCUUGGCCACACUAGAGACUAUUGAGACUUACCCCUAGACUUCACUAGAGACUAUUGAGACUUACCCCUUGACUACGCUAGAGACUUUUGAGACUUACCCCUAUACUUCACUAGAGACUAUUGAGACCUACCCCUUGACUACAUGAGAGACUAAUGAGACUAAUCCCUAGACUACACUAGAGAAUAAUGAAACUCACCCCUUGACUAUACUAGAGACCAAUGAGACAAACCUCUAGACAAGACUAGACUACACUAGAGACUAUUGAGACUCACCCCUAGACUACACUAGACUAUUGAGACUCACCCCUAGAAUACACUAGACUAUUGAGACUCACCAAUAGAAUACACUAGAGACUAUUGAGACUCACCCCUAGACUAAACUAGAGAGAGUUGAGACUCACCACUAGAUGACACUAGAGACUAUUGAGACUCACCUCUCAACUACACUAGAGAGUGUGAGACUCACCCCUAGAAUAAACUAGAGACUGUUGAGACACCUUUAGACUACACUUUAGACUAAUGAGACUCAUCCCUAGACUAUACUAGAGACUAUUGAGACUCACCCCUAGACUACACUAAAC
ensembl:lncRNA